rnacentral:rRNA from 1 species
UGAUUCCUACGGGGGGCAGCAGUGGGGAAUAUUGGGCAAUGGGCGCAAGCCUGACCCAGCAACGCCGCGUGAAGGAAGAAGGCUUUCGGGUUGUAAACUUCUUUUAUCAGGGACGAAACAAAUGACGGUACCUGAUGAAUAAGCCACGGCUAACUACGUGCCAGCAGCCGCGGUAAUACGUAGGUGGCAAGCGUUAUCCGGAAUUACUGGGUGUAAAGGGAGCGUAGGCGGGACUGCAAGUUGGGUGU